rnacentral:lncRNA from 1 species
CCCUGCUCAGCAGUCUGAGACUCAGUAAUGGGGAUAAUGUCCAAAGAUUCUGCUCGGCUCCUAUGAGCACUCCCAUUGACUCCUGUCCAUAGCUCCUUGCUAUCCAGCCCAAAGGCAGAUGCAGCUGAGUGUAGAUAAAUCUCUCCACAAGACUAACAGCCCAGUAAGAACAUGUGGCCCACUGUUAGUAGUAAGAUUAGCUUUACGCAGGAAAAAAAGGCAACCAAAUCCAAUGGCCCUGGGGAGGCUAUUGUUAGUUUUCCAGCACUAUAACAAAAUACCCAAAGCUAAGUACUCAUAAGGAAGUUAGUCUAACUCACAGUUCUGGAGGGUCUAGGGCCUGGUACCGGCCUCUGCUGAGGAUCUCAUGGCAGAGGGCUUCACAGUGUUGGGAAUAUGUUACAGGGAGAGAGCACAUGGCAAAACACACAGCUAAAGAGCAAUUCGAGUCCAGCUGCUUCUUUAAUAACCAUCUCAAAAGACCUAAUGGGGUGCCACAGAAACUCCCUGGUUUCUUCUGAGGACAAUGUUCGUGAGGUUCCCACUACACUCCAUACCUCUUAAUGAUGCUACAUGGGACCAAACUUCUAAUACAUGAGUCACUGAGGAACUAACCCUAGGUAAAGCAUAGCAGGGAGUGUCAGUUAACUGACCUGAAACUCCUCCAGGGAGCCUUCUCCGUGACAGGCAGGCUUCAACAGAUGCAAUUUCAACGGGCACUGACCACCUUUUCAGAAGGCAGUGGUUCCAGGCGUGGAGGUCCUCCCUGGUACUAACUUGUUGGUAGCAGCAUUAUGAAUGGAGUGGAGCAAAACAGAAGCAAGGAGUCAAGAUGCCAAACCACGAAACCUAUCGCUUCCUCUGGGCAGACAGGCUUGAGGCUGAGGAAGUACAUUAGCCACAAAGAACACUUCUUAGACUUUACCUCUCUCUUCAUCCCUCAGCUCCUGCCUGCAUCCUGGCUCCUUGGGGCCAGACUCCUGCUCUGCUCUGGAGCUCUGAGAAACUUUUCCAGAAAGGAGUCUAGAAGAAAUUCUAGAAAAGGAAUUCUUAAGAAGGGUCUGAAGGCUGCUCAAGACUGGUCAUGUACUUGCGUCCUCCUGUCUGAGAGCUUCUAGACACGUGAAGGUUCCUUCCACUGUGCUUUGGGAAGAAAUCCAUUUACUCAAGAGAACAGGAUUCCCUGGUACAGCCGUUCC